AUGGACUGCUGCUCCCACCACGUGUUUGCAUUUGCCUUCAUUACUUUCUGGAUCAUCGGCGGCUCGGCUAUCAUCGUCUUCGCGCUCGUAUCAGUAGCCUACACGGAAGCCGGCGGCACCACGUUCGAGUACAUCUUCCUCUCCAUCUUCCUCGUCGCCUGGAUAAGCUUCGGCGCCAAUUUCUACCGCGUCGACUUCUGCCCGCUCAUGUCGUGGUCGGAGCUGGGGCGCCGGUGCCUGGCCAAGCUUCUCGGCCCGCUCCAGUGGUGCCGCCGCGGGGUCAGCCGGCUUCUCUGCGUACCGUGCCGGUGGGCAUGCGGCAAGCUAUGGCGCUGGAGCGGCGGCGUUUCCGUUGAUCUUCCGCAGUUCAUGGUGCAAAGCGGAAGUGUUCUCGAGCCGCCGCCGGCGUGCGAGCUCACCGCGGACGACAUCCCGGCGUGCGAGCAGGAGGCCGCGGUGCGGCCAGGCGCCGCGUCGGAGUGCGCGGUGUGCCUCGGCGAGAUGGAGAAUGGAGACAUGGUUAAGCGGCUGCCGGCGUGCUUGCACAUGUUCCAUCAGCACUGCAUCGACGUCUGGCUGCGCGGCCACUCGACGUGCCCGGUCUGCCGGUUUGACGUUUUUGCCCCGUUGCCGUCUCAGUUUGCAUGA
rnacentral:rRNA from 1 species